UGUCAUUAAUGAUUAAUUCGAGUAUUGUAAGAAAAAAGUAUUGCAUAUUAUGUAAAGCUACAUUGCUUAAUGUGAUGAUCCAAGAGAUAAUCGAAUAACUUAAAUAUCCGGAGAGGUAGUGUUGGAGCCUGGACCGCCAUCACAACAACUGCGUCUGCGCCUCAUUCGAGUGGCGGCGGCGGUAGGAAACAGAGGCAAGCUGAUUAAUCAGACCUGUUGAGAGUGAUUUUGGCUUUUUUUCAAGCGUUUAGGACCAAAAUUGCAACGCUGCCAGAGUAUCAAGAUGCAAUUAGAGCAGGGGAUGACGUUGUCAUUGAAAGAGCGGCGGCAGUAACAGGAAUUAGCGGCGAUGAGUAAAGGUGACUGGCAAGAGGCCGCCAUGUGCAGAGGAGAGGCGAGGGAUGGUUGCUGGUGCCUGGCUGUCACAAUACACCAUCGAGCAGUGGGUGCUCCGCGUUCACACCUUGCCACUUCGCAUCCACCUGCCGCGGCGCUGUAGUACCUGCUGAUUGGGAGCUUCGGGUCUGCAUAAAUGGAGGAACGCGGCAUGAAGCAUUAGUAUUACAGAGGGAAAUAUAUUACUUUGAUUUACUUAUCUUCAUCUUAAUUAUACAGACAGCCAUGUUUUUUUUUUUUAUCUCUUGUUUUCAAGGUUGUGUGAUAAAAAUUGAAAACCGAAAUAUUCCAAAGUCGAAGAGUGAAGAAUGCAUUUGUUUAAUUAACUCGAUAGACAGACGAAUAAAAAAUGUAGUGCGCCUGAAACUUUACACUUUUAAUUUGCACGUUUUGCAGCAGACACGAUGGGCGACCUUGAAACUGUGUGGCUGACGGAAGCACUUCAGCAGUAGCAGCCCGACUUGGAGGUUAGCACAUCAUCCACUCGGCCGCCCCUCACAUUCAGCACCAACGUCCAUCAACACUGAAGCACCGGCAGAUUUGCACCUGCGCCGCUGUUCUCUGCACUACAGGUGGUGUGUGUAGGUCACGUCGCUGGGUCUUAGCAUGAAACCCCGCCCGCCUGGAUGACGACGUUACGGCCUGCUUCCCGUUGAGAGGAGAUACACGUACGGGGGACAGCUGCCAGUAGUUUUUCUUCUUCCUUGAUUAUUUU